AUGGUACUUCCUCCGUUUAAAAAUUCUUGUCUUAAAUUUAUCUAAAUACGAAUGUAUUAAAUCACGUUUUGGUAUUAGAUACAUCUGUAUCUAGACUAAUCUAAGAAAAGAAUUUUGGGACGGAGGGAGCACUUA
rfam:Triticum aestivum genome assembly, contig: Triticum_aestivum_CS42_TGACv1_scaffold_577710_7BL